UACAGAGGGUGCGAGCGUUGUUCGGAAUUAUUGGGCGUAAAGGGCGCGUAGGCGGUGCGGUAAGUCACCUGUGAAAUCUCCUGGCUCAACUGGGAGCUUGCAGGCGAAACUGCCGUGCUGGAGUGUGGGAGAGGUGCGUGGAAUUCCUGGUGUAGCGGUGAAAUGCGUAGAUAUCAGGAGGAACACCUGUGGCGAAAGCGGCGCACUGGACCACAACUGACGCUGAGGCGCGAAAGCGUGGGGAUCAAACAGG
rnacentral:rRNA from 1 species